UAGAGUGUGGACUGGAUUCUUGUGGCUCGCGGUAGAUUCCGGUGACGGGCGGUUGUGAACAUAAUAACGAAACGCAUGGUUCAAAAGAGAGACUCAGAAACCCGCAGCCGUUCCGUGGGUCGAGAUUCGGGAAUCCAUAUCAUAACACGAUGACGGACGGACAAACACCCAAGCAGAACUAUCGAAAAUUUGAGUUCAAUCAAUUUUCUACACGGAGGAAUUAAGAAGAGCACACAUUGAUCUUAUUAAAAGUGGAGUACGGUAAUAAAUUAACUAUAAACACACAU